AUUGAACGCUGGCGGCAGGCCUAACACAUGCAAGUCGAACGGGAACAGGUAUAUGCUUGCUUCUUUGCUGACGAGUGGCGGACGGGUGAGUAAUGUGUGGGAGACUGCCUGAUGGAGGGGGAUGACUAUUGGAAACGGUCGCUAAUACCGCAUAACGUCGCAAGACCAAAAAGGGGGACCUUCUGGCCACUUGGCAUCGGAUGCGCCCAGAUGGGAAUGGCUAGUAGGUGGGGUAACGGCUCACCUAGGCGAGCGACCCUAGCUGGGCUGAGAGGAUGGGCAGCCACACUGGAACUGAGACACCCUCCAGACUCCUACGGGGGCACGCAGUGGGGAAUAUUGCAAAAUGGGCGCAAGCCUUAUGCAGCCAUGCCGCGUGUAUGAAGAAGGCCUUCGGGUUGUAAAGUACUUUCAGCGGGGAGGAAGGGAGUCAAGUUAAUACCUUUGCUCAUUGACGUUACCCGCAGAAGAAGCACCGGCUAACUCCGUG
rnacentral:rRNA from 1 species